rnacentral:lncRNA from 1 species
GUUAAAAAACUGAUUUUGUAUUAAGUAUCUUCUCAGACCAAAAGAAAGUAAAACCAUAAAUCAAUAUAAAAAAGGAACUUUGGAAACUGUAAAAAUAUAUGAAAUCAAACGCCUUGCUCCUGAAUGACCAUUAUGUCAAUAAAUAAAGAAGAAAAACAAAACAUUCCUUGAAACAAAUGAAAAUGGAAACGCAACAUACCAAAACCUACGGGAUACCGAAAAAAUAGUGCUAAGAGGGAAAUUUAGAGCAAUAGAUUUCUACUUCUAAAAAACUGAAAGCUCAGAGACUAACUAGUAGAUCAGUAUUCCAUGGCACAAUUUCUGAAUUUGAUUUCCAACCUUAAAAAAAAGAAGGGUUAUGGUCUUUUACCCACCCUACCAAACCCUAGCUAUAUUGCCAGAUGUUUGCUAAACUUCUUUAAGAAAUUAGCAUAUUUUAUACUUUUGAUAUUUUUACCUGCUAUAAGUCAUAGAGGCAA